CAGGAUUCCUUGUGCUGACUAAAACAAUAACCUGCUGGAUGCAAGAGUCACUACAGACGGGCCGAGUGGGAGAGCAUUUACAAAGGACAGACAGGCACAAACCUCAAUAUGAAAUGAGAGGCUGAUCCAUGAAAGCUCCACGUGGCCAAGGAUGGAAAUAGGUGACCCGUGAUACAAUAAAAAUAUUUUUAAUUA